rnacentral:rRNA from 1 species
UCAAGUUAUUAAGGGUGCAGGGCGGAUGCCUUGGCACUAGGAGCCGAUGAAGGACGUGAUAAGCUGCGAUAAGCUUCGGGGAGUUGCACGUAAACUUUGAUCCGAAGAUUUCCGAAUGAGGAAACUCACUUAGAGUAAUGUCUAAGUAUCAUUAAGUGAAUACAUAGCUUAAUGAGGGGAACUCAGGGAACUGAAACAUCUAAGUACCUGAAGGAAGAGAAAGAAAUUCGAUUCCGUAAGUAGCGGCGAGCGAACGCGGAUUAGCCCAAACCAAUAAAGUUUUCUUUAUUGGGGUUGCGGACAUAUCAUAACGAAGAGGUAUCGUAAUUGAAGAGGUUUGGAAAGACCCACCACAGAAGGUAAUAGUCCUGUAUGUUAAACGAGAAGACUUCAGAUAUGAUCCAGAGUACCACGGGACACGUGAAACCCUGUGGGAAGCAGGAGGGACCACCCUCCAAGGCUAAAUACUACCUAGUGACCGAUAGCGUAUAGUACCGUGAGGGAAAGGUGAAAAGAACCCCGGGAGGGGAGUGAAAUAGAACCUGAAACCCUGCACUUACAAGCUGUGGAAGCACAUUUCUUGUGUGACCGCGUACUUUUUGUAGAACGGGCCAACGAGUUACGUUAAGUAGCAAGGUUAAGCACUUAAGGUGUGGAGCCGUAGCGAAAGCGAGUUUUAACUGAGCGUUCAGUUACUUGACGUAGACCCGAAACCGGGCGACCUACCCAUGAGCAGGAUGAAGCGAAAGUAAAAUUUCGUGGAGGUCCGAACCCACGAGCGUUGAAAAGCUCGGGGAUGACUUGUGGGUAGCGGUGAAAUUCCAAUCGAGCCCGGAGAUAGCUGGUUCUCCCCGAAAUAGCUUUAGGGCUAGCCUCAAGGUGAGAGAUACGGAGGUAGAGCACUGAAUGUCCUAGGGGGUAUUGCACCUACCGAAGACUAUCAAACUCCGAAUGCCGUCAUCUUAUACUUGGGAGUCAGACUGUGGGUGAUAAGAUUCAUAGUCGAAAGGGCAACAGCCCAGAUCGUCAGCUAAGGUCCCUAAAUGUAAGUUAAGUGGUAAAGGAUGUGGGAUUGCACAGACAACCAGGAUGUUGGCUUAGAAGCAGCCACUCAUUCAAAGAGUGCGUAAUAGCUCACUGGUCGAGUGAUCCUGCGCCGAAGAUUUCCGGGGCUAAAACUUACUACCGAAGCUACGGCAUCAGUAAUGAUGGGUAGGGGAGCUUCCCAUACGGGUUGAAGCAUGACCGUAAGGACAUGUGGACAGUAUGGGAGUGAGAAUGUUGGCAUGAGUAGCGAGAUGUGGGUGAGAAUCCCACAGGCCGUAAACCCAAGGUUUCCAGGGGAAGGUUCGUCCGCCCUGGGUUAGUCGGGACCUAAGCUGAGGCCGAAAGGCGUAGGUGAUGGACAACAGGUUGAUAUUCCUGUACUACCGAUAACCGUUUGAGAGAAGGGAUGACACAGUAGGAUAAGCUAAGCACACUGUUGGUUAUGUGUGCCCAAGCAUUGAGGCAGUCAAAGUAGGCAAAUCCGCUUUGAUAAUGCUGGGAUGUGAUGGGGAGCGAAAUUUAGUAGCGAAGUAGCUGAUUUCACACUGUCAAGAAAAGUCUCUAUCGAGGUUAAAGGUACCCGUACCGCAAACCGACACAGGUGGGUGAGGAGAGUAUCCUAAGGCCAGCGAGAGAACUGUUGUUAAGGAACUCGGCAAAAUGACCCCGUAACUUAGGGAUAAGGGGUGCCACCAUCAGGUGGCCGCAGAGAAUAGGCCCAAGCGACUGUUUACCAAAAACAUAGGUUUCUGCUAAGUCGCAAGACGAUGUAUAGGAGCUGACGCCUGCCCGGUGCUGGAAGGUUAAGGGGAUCUGUUAGAGCAAUCGAAGCAGUGAACUUAAGCCCCAGUAAACGGCGGCCGUAACUAUAACGGUCCUAAGGUAGCGAAAUUCCUUGUCGGGUAAGUUCCGACCCGCACGAAAGGCGUAACGAUUUGGGCACUGUCUCAACAACAGACUCGGUGAAAUUGUAAUUCCGGUGAAGAUGCCGGAUACCUGCGACAGGACGGAAAGACCCCAUGGAGCUUUACUGUAGCUUGACAUUGGGUCUUGGUACUACAUGUACAGGAUAGGUGGGAGGCUUUGAAACCAGGACGCCAGUUUUGGCGGAGCCAUCCUUGGGAUACCACCCUUGUAGUACUGGGACUCUAACCAUAGGCCAUGAAUCUGGUCUUGGGACACUGUCAGGUGGGCAGUUUGACUGGGGCGGUCGCCUCCCAAAAGGUAACGGAGGCGCUCAAAGGUUCUCUCAGUACGGUCGGAAAUCGUACGUAGAGUGUAAAGGCAAAAGAGAGCUUGAUUGCAAGACAUACAGGUCGAGCAAGGAUGAAAAUCGGACUUAGUGAUCCGGUGGUUCUGCGUGGAAGGGCCAUCGCUCAACGGAUAAAAGCUACCCUGGGGAUAACAGGCUUAUCUCCCCCAAGAGUCCACAUCGACGGGGAGGUUUGGCACCUCGAUGUCGGCUCAUCACAUCCUGGGGCUGUAGUAGGUCCCAAGGGUUGGGCUGUUCGCCCAUUAAAGUGGUACGCGAGCUGGGUUCAGAACGUCGUGAGACAGUUCGGUCCCUAUCCGUCGCAGGCGUAGGAAAUUUGAGAAGACCUGUCCUUAGUACGAGAGGACCGGGAUGGACGUACCUCUGGUGUACCAGUUGUUCUGCCAAGGGCAUGGCUGGGUAGCUAUGUACGGAAUGGAUAAGCGCUGAAAGCAUCUAAGCGCGAAGCCAACUUCAAGAUAAGAUUUCCCACCGCAAGGGUAAGACCCCAGAAAGACUAUCUGGUUGAUAGGUCGAAGGUGUAAGUGCAGCAAUGUAUUUAGCUUAUCGAUACUAAUAGGUCGAGGACUUGACCAA